GACGUUGGGGUAGGCAACUAGCUGCUCUGCCACACGGAGUGUGCCCCUGGCUCAUUCCAAUAACAGCUAGGUAUUAUCAUUAUUAAUAUUAGCUCUGCAGACCUCGGCAAAGACAAGAAAACUGCCUUCUGUUGGUGUACCAUUUAUUCAGUAAACAUGCAUGGCAUCUAUAUGUCAGCUCUCUUCUAGGGCUGGGAAUAUAGAAGAGAUGUGGGAAGAGGCAGUAUCUUGUGAUGAAGAGAGUGGGGUCUGAAAUACAGAGCCUGGGUUAGAGCCCCAUGUUGGCCACUUUCUGUGUGAUCCUGAGAAAUGGAUGUAACUUCUGUGGGCUUUGUUGUCUUUGUCUCUAAGAUGAGGAAGAUGAUAAGAAUGCCAUCACAGGAUUAUUCUCAGGGUGAAAUGCAUUAGUACAAAUAAAGGGCUUUGAAUACUUCGAGGGAGAAGGCUCUGAUUCUUUCAAUGGACCCACGCAGCUGCUCCAUGGGUCCGUGGAGCAGCUUGCUUUGCUUUUACAAAGCUUUACUUUGCUUUCACCCUGCCCGCCUUAAGUAUUCACUGAGCACGUACUUUGCUAGGUACUGGGGAUUCACAGAUGAAAUACAUGUAGAUCUGUAUCCCCUAAUCACACAAAUGUUUCCUGAGCCUCUGCUAUGUGCAAAACUCCAUGCACCAGAUGACAAUACUGAAAGAGACUUGGCAGAGCUGUGGAGGCAGGUGUGGGAUAUAUUAAGGACAUACCUUGAGAACUUUUGUUCCAGGCAAGAGGGAUCUAAGGGGCUAAGAGAGGUGGGUCUGGUCCCAGCUGUGUUGGUGAGAGGUAGCGUGUGGACAUCUGUGUUGCAUAAUUCUGGACAGGCAGCAAAGCCUGACCUGUGGAUGGGGCCUGGGAGAGGAGGACACCCAAUUCCAGCACAGAAAAGUAGUACUGUAUUUUCCUGGGUCAUCAAAUGAGCAGUAAUCUGGGAACAAAAGAUGAUUAGCCAUGGAUGCCUGCCGAGCUGAGCCAGUUGCUUGCACCCCGGAACCCAGCCAGUGCUCUGCUCUCAGGGUCCCAAACUCGCUUCCCUGGACUGUCCUUUGAGACUCUCACACCCACUCUCCAGCCAGCUUUGGAGAACAGUUAAAAUAGCAAGUUCUGCCCAUCUGUGUCAGUUCCAAGCACUCCUUCAAUAUAUGUUCUAUGGUAAGCAACAGAAUUCCACUAGGCAUGGUUUACAGCCCUCACUAGGAGGACGCUGGAAGGACAUUGCAGGAGGAAAAGGCUCCCUACAAUAUCCUGCAUGGGGGAGGGGGGAGGCGUCUGCAGUGGAUUCCUACCCUAGCCAUAGGCCCAGAACACAAUUUCUGUGCGACUCUGCAGCCUCAGUCUAGUGGUAACUUUUCUACAGCCUCGUAAAACCAAAGCCCUCAUGUGGCCUGCACACAGUUGACUGUGGCUGGGGUCUCGCAUCCCCAGCAGCAGAGCAAGCUCAUGUUCAGCCCUGAUACCCUAAAGGAAUGUAACAACCAAAGGAAGUGCCUGAUCCUUGAUGGAAUCCCGUACUGAAAAGAAUAAAAGUAAAACUGCUAUAAAGGACAUUAUCGAGACAUUUGGGGAACUAGAAUAUGAGCUGUAUGAGGACAGCCUUGUAACAAUGUUAAACAUUUUGGUUAUUCUGGUAUUUAGUUAGUAUUUUUGUUGUGUGGGAGAAUGCCGCUUGUUGUAGUAUUCUGCUUGAUACACGGAUGCAUGCCCAAGUUUUUAGGGGUGGAGGCGGAGCUUGCAGUGAGCCGAGAUCCUGCCACUGCACUCCAGCCUGGGCGACAGAGCGAGACUCUGACUCAAAAAAAAAAAAAAAAAAAAAGAGAGAGAA
rnacentral:lncRNA from 1 species